AGAGUUUUAUCCUGGCUCAGGACGAACGCUGGCGGCGCGCCUAACACAUGCAAGUCGAACGGAGCUGAGAGGAGCUUGCUUUUCUUAGCUUAGUGGCGAACGGGUGAGUAACGCGUGAGUAACCUGCCCUGGAGUGGGGGACAACAGUUGGAAACGACUGCUAAUACCGCAUAAGCCCACGGAUCCGCAUGGAUCUGCGGGAAAAGGAUUUAUUCGCUUCAGGAUGGACUCGCGUCCAAUUAGCUAGUUGGUGAGGUAACGGCCCACCAAGGCGACGAUUGGUAGCCGGACUGAGAGGUUGAACGGCCACAUUGGGACUGAGACACGGCCCAGACUCCUACGGGAGGCAGCAGUGGGGGAUAUUGCACAAUGGGGGAAACCCUGAUGCAGCGACGCCGCGUGGAGGAAGAAGGUUUUCGGAUUGUAAACUCCUGUCGUUAGGGACGAUAAUGACGGUACCUAACAAGAAAGCACCGGCUAACUACGUGCCAGCAGCCGCGGUAAAACGUAGGGUGCAAGCGUUGUCCGGAAUUACUGGGUGUAAAGGGAGCGCAGGCGGACCGGCAAGUUGGAAGUGAAAACUAUGGGCUCAACCCAUAAAUUGCUUUCAAAACUGCUGGCCUUGAGUAGUGCAGAGGUAGGUGGAAUUCCCGGUGUAGCGGUGGAAUGCGUAGAUAUCGGGAGGAACACCAGUGGCGAAGGCGACCUACUGGGCACCAACUGACGCUGAGGCUCGAAAGCAUGGGUAGCAAACAGGAUUAGAUACCCUGGUAGUCCAUGCCGUAAACGAUGAUUACUAGGUGUUGGAGGAUUGACCCCUUCAGUGCCGCAGUUAACACAAUAAGUAAUCCACCUGGGGAGUACGACCGCAAGGUUGAAACUCAAAGGAAUUGACGGGGGCCCGCACAAGCAGUGGAGUAUGUGGUUUAAUUCGAAGCAACGCGAAGAACCUUACCAGGUCUUGACAUCCGAUGCAUAGCUUAGAGAUAAGUGAAGUCCUUCGGGACAUCGAGACAGGUGGUGCAUGGUUGUCGUCAGCUCGUGUCGUGAGAUGUUGGGUUAAGUCCCGCAACGAGCGCAACCCUUAUCGUCCGUUACUAACAGGUAGCGCUGAGGACUCAGACGAGACCGCCGGGGACAACUCGGAGGAAGGUGGGGACGACGUCAAAUCAUCAUGCCCCUUACGACCUGGGCUACACACGUGCUACAAUGGGUACAACAAAGAGACGCGAGACCGCAAGGUGGAGCCAAACUCAGAAAAGUACUCUCAGUUCAGAUUGUGGGCUGCAACCCGCCCACAUGAAGUUGGAGUUGCUAGUAAUCGCGGAUCAGCAUGCCGCGGUGAAUACGUUCCCGGGCCUUGCACACACCGCCCGUCA
rnacentral:rRNA from 1 species